rnacentral:ribozyme from 1 species
CGGAGCUCACGGAUACACAGGCAAAAAUGACGCAAUCCAUGGAAGAUAAGGAGAGGAUUUCUGCAGAGUAUGCCUUCCUCGCCAAGAAUUACGGGGACUUGAAAAAGUCUUCUGGAAGCAGCGUGGCAUUGCUAGAAGAGGAGAUUGCGGGGUACAAAGACCAGAUCCAAAGUUUGGAAGGACGAUUAAAUGAGAUGCAAGGCCAGUGGAAGGAAGCGCAGGAGGAAGUUUCUCGUUGGAAAGCCGAAUGCGAGAAUGUAAAAAAGGAGGCAU